AAGGGGUUAGUUUAAUAAAAACCACUAAUUUCGACUUAGUAAACUCUGGCUAUUCCAGGACCCCUAA
rnacentral:tRNA from 1 species